GCCUGGCAGCAGUAGGAGGGAACAGACAGAUGAGAAAAUCCAAACCCUCUGCCUCCGCUGUGCUGGACUCCGGGCCUAUGUCCCCCGGGACAACACAGAGGGGGUCUUGGCUCAUGUCACAGACCCAUCAGGGGCCCCCCUAUUCAGCAGGUGUUCACGGCAGGCUGGGCGCCAUGGCCACCGACGCUGGGCCUCCCCAGAGCAGCGCCCAUCUUGAAUAAGGGUCCCCAAAGUGCCCCUGUGAUCCUUUGACCCCCAUCAGCGAUUUCUAGUGGAGGAACUUUCUUGACCUGACUGUGCUAGUGGCUGGGCCCAGGCUGAGCUCAGGCAGGGACCAGCUUCACAUACACCUCGGGCCCGCAGCGGCACCGGGUGAGGUGGGUUAUGAGCAGGGCCCAGAGAGAAGAGUGACUGGCGGCCUCGUGGUGACAGAGAGGGAUGGUGGGGCAGCACCUUGCCUGAGGACUCAGCAGGGUGGCCCCAAAGUGCCCCUACACGGCGCCAGGCUGUGGGCCCUGGUCACGAGCACGCUGGGGCCUGCUUCCCCGGGGGCCCCGGAGCCAGGGAGGGGGUGAUGACAAGAGGGAAAAGGCCAGCUUCUGGCCCUCGUCCUGCUGCGGGCCCUCCAGGGCUCAGGGUCCCGGCAGCCAGGGAUCUGGGGACCCGCUGCCCUCCGCCGCAGGAAGGCCCGCCCCAGGAGGGGAGCCAUCGGGUGGGAGAGAGGACACAAGCUGGACACCCGGACAGCGGAAGGAGCCCAACAGUGUGGCCACCGCUCAAGCCCUGCUGGCAACCCUUGACCGGAGCCACCUCUCGAGCCGUUCUAUAACGUCAUUCUCUUAAGUAUUCCGGUCACACAGCAUAAAAAAAUUGGAAAGCGCAAGAAAGGUGUUUCGUCGCUCUGGCCUAACGUGCUGUUCAGGUGGGGAGGGUUGGGGGGAGGCAGGAGCUAAGGGCGCCUCCACCUUGCGCGGGACACCCCGGGAAUGCGGCCCCAGGGGGCAGGUCUCUUGGGUCCAGUUCACUGCUGAUCUCGGGGCGUGUGGUGGGUGCUCCCUAAACAUUUAAGUGGACGAGCGAAUAAAACCCGGAUGCCCGGGCCAGCCGGCCCGAAGAUCGCCAGUCUGCCCUUCCGCCUCCCGCCGGCUAUGUGCCCCGCGGGCCAGAGGGGUCCUGAAACGAGUCCCCCCAGGAAGGCUUUCGUCAGCCCGCCCGCGCCUGCAUUGGGGCUCCCCUUCCCGGAGGGCACCACACGGGUGGCUGCGCCCCGAGUCUCAGGCGUGUGAGCCCUUGGCGGAAGCCCCGUCGGGAUGCUGGGGGGCGGCCUCUUCCCGCGUGAGCCUCGCGGACCACCUUCUCACCAGGCCGGCUCCUCCUGGUCCUUGCGGUCUUCCACGAUCUUGUCCAAGGCAUUCAAGACGGCUUCCAGGUUCCCCUCUGCUUUGAUUUCGGAGAUUUCCUCCUGAAGAGAGACCAGCAAAGGGCUGUAAGGACACCACACAAGCCCACAGUGAAAGUACAGGACUCAGUAACAUUCUGGCGAAUUCCUGUUCCGUGCCUUUGUACCCACAUGCCCUCUUCUCUCCAGGGGACUUUAGUAACGAAGAACAGAAAGGGUAAGAUGGAAAACAUCUGAAAAGAGCCUGCCCAUCACCCUGGGUGCCGCAGCCCCAGGCCCAGCGCACCCCGUGCCGGUGGCACAGAUGCGUCUGGGUGCUCCCGGGCCCCCCUGGCGCGUGCCGGCAGGGAGACAGAGCCCUCAAGAGGGAUCACGGUCACUGAAAGGCCUGAAUGCAGCGGCCUCUCUUGGGCUCCCUGUCGUAUGCAGUUCCGUUGAAUUCAACGGUUUGUUAAGUGCCCUGUCCGUGCCAGGCCCUGCACCAGGUGCUGGAGGUACGAAGACGAGACGACCCAGCAGACAGUCAUGAUGCAGGAGGACAAGGGCAGGGGUGUCGAGGUGCCCGUCCUUGGGAAGGAAGGGACGGCGGCCACCGUGGCCUGACCACUGGGGACCGGCAGGGGCUGAGCGUACGGCCCCUGCCUGCAGGACCCGAACCAGCACUGCCUGCCGGGCUCCCUGCCACUCACCCGGACAGACGUCUGCAACUGGGUGAUAAACCUGUCGUAGAUUCGUUGCGUCAUCUCAGGCUGCAGCUGGUAGAGGCGCUUGUAACAGUCGGUGAAUCUCUGGUAGCUGGUGGGAAGGAGAGCCAGCCCUCAGCAGCCGCUGGGGCGCCCCGCCCCGCCUCCCAGGGCAGGGCUGCGGGCCGGGUCAGCCUCACGGCGCUGGUUAAAGGCCGUGGGUGCAAAGCGUCUCGCCUGCACCUCCGGUCACUGCAGACGGCUCAGCCCCACCUGACCACUCACUGCCUCUCCGCAGAGCCGCAGGGGAGCCCAGGGGUUACCCUCAAGGGUGGGUCACGAUGGUCCAGCCACUCAAACCACCGGGGUGGAGGGCUUGCUCAGCCUCAGCGCCAGCCGCCUCCCCGGUUUCCAACCAGCUCCCGGGUGACACUGCUGCCGGUGUGGGUAGGGGUCCCGGAGAAACUGGUCGCUCCAGGCCCCUUGCUGGGCUGGAUUAGGACAGGACAUGUGGCCUCUGGGAGAGUUUUCCUGCCUCCUCAAAGGAGCCACAGAGGAAGGAACUGAUGCCCUUUCUGGAGGACGUGACCGUAUCCAGGUGAUGCGUCCGGCUCCCGGCCACCGCAGGGGUCUCUGGCCUGAGGGCAGAGUUUAUACCCUAAGGAGGCAGAACGGAAGGAGGGAAAGAACUGGGGUCUCUGAGGACACCGUCAAGCUGCCGAAGACGCCAAGCCAGAGUCCGCGCCUCUCGGGGCUGCUCGCUAGUGAAGGGAUGGAUGCCUCUUGUCGUUCAAGCCAUUUCUAAUCAGGUCUCCGGCAGCGGCGGCCGAGAGCAUCUCGCUGCUACGGCCCUUAUAGCUGGAAAGAUCGGGGUACCCUGGACACUUCUGAUGGCUGGCCGUCUUGCACAAAGACAUGCCAGUGAGUUAAAGAAGUCUCUUGCCUUUUCUCUCCCCACUCCUUGCUUGCUUGUCUCUCUCUACCUUCCCCCUCAGGCCCUUCCCCUUCUGCCUAUGUCCGUGCUGGCCACCCACGGGCUCCUGGGCACUGGGCAGGAGGGAGGCCACACGGCCCUCCUGGAGCUUCUCGCAGGGAGGUGGCAGCAAUCACAGAGACUCAUGAGAACGUGGUGAUGACCACUGUGGAGGGCACUUAGAAGGAAAAGGGCCACGGGCUUCAGAGUGUCACGGGGAUCGCCAUUAAGCUGGGGGCGGGUGGGGGUGGGGGUUCAGCGACAGCCCGUCUGAUGAAGCAAUGUUCAAAUGACCUGCUGGAAGUGUCCAAGCCAGUGAGCGCUCAACCACACAAAAGCCCACGUCUGUGCUUGGCUGUGGGUCCGGAUGUUCCUCAGCUGCGUGGCCAGGCUGGGAUCGGGUCCCUGGAAGCCUGUGCGCAGCCCGCCCCCGCCACCCCCUCUGCCACGGGGACUCACUGCUGGCCCUCGGCCGCCCCCCCCCCCACCGUUCCUGCCCCUGAACAGGGGCUGUGAAACAGGUGACAAGGGAGAGCACACAGAGGCUUGCGAGGGACAGCCGUUACAUCUUCGGGAGACACAGCCAGCACGGAACACUAAAUUAUAUAAUCUGGCAGUAAGUUACGUUAAAAACAAGGUACUAACUAUUCAAAACACACGGCUUCCUAAUCCUUCCAGCACAUUUUCCUCGCGCGAGGCUGUUGGCGGCGUCCCCGUGGAAGCACUCUGUGACGGUGCCCAACCACCCGUCUUUCCGCAGCUCUAGUGAGUAUUUACGCCUCGGAAGCUGGCAAACACAGUCAGCCGGGGCUUUGUUUUCGGAGGGCCGGCUGCAAGCCUCUGCCGCCCGGCCCCUCUGCAGGAGGGACAGUCUCUCCCUGCUGGAGGGUACACAUCGGACACUGGUGCACCUGGGGGCAAGGAACGGACGACCGGCACCCUUCGCCCUCGGCGGAGCCCUGGGCAUCCUGUGGUGCUGCCGGCCCCCCUCGCCACGCAGUCUGUGGCUCACGAGGGAUGUGGAGGGACGCAAGACGCCUGGCCAAGCCGGGCUGGAACUGAACCAGGUAAUUGUGGCUUGAAACGGGCGCGGCCUGGACACCGGAGAUCCUGCUCCUCCUGCCAGCAGCCCGCUGGACGGCAGAGGGUCUGAGCUGAGCCAGACCCCCUCUCCUGGGGGAGCCUCCAGUGCCGCCGGGGAGGCUUUCCCGAGGCCCCGCUGGGCUCAGAGCUCAGUGAGAGCAAAGCACGUUCGCACACAUCCCUGGACACGGAGCGCAGGCGGCCACGCUGGAGGCCAGUGUCAGGGCACAGGAGGACACGGAUCCUUGCUUUGUAUUUUUCCAGCUUGACUGUAGAAGUUGAAGGCUGCGGCACGACGGGGCCUGGCUCACGUGUGCAGUGAAACGAUGGCCGCCAGAAGUGCAGUUAACAUCCGUCAUCGUCUGGCAGAGACACAAAGUUUUCCCCUCGUGCUGAGGACGACGCUCCGACCCCCUCCCCACAGAGCAGCGUGAAUCGUGGGCACCACGUGGUACACCUCGGGGUACUCCCUCGUCCUCCAGCCGGACCCUCGGGCCUGUGUCCCCCUUCAUCCAACCCCUCCCCACCGCCAGGAGUUCUUUUCUUGAGAGCAGGUGCGGGCCUGGGAAUGGUGUGAACGCCCUUGUGAAUUCUGGGAAAAAUGCUCUCAGGGAGAAGCAGGAAAAGUGAUGCAUUUCCAAGCGGCCCCCUACCGCAAAGUCAAAUUUUGUCUUGUCAGGUAAACGAAUAUCCCUGUGGGCGGGGACGCCAUCUGCAACAUCACCGGGAUCUCCAGGCUGUCCAGAGCUGUGACCACCCUGCAGACCAGGGGCUGGGGCUGAGGGGAGGCCAUCUCUCCACCCUGGACCCCAGGCUACUGGGCCCGGGCUACUUGGGCGGAGGAGUACUCCCUCGUGAGCUUCCCCGGUGGCCUCUCUGCCAAGCCCCCCUCUGCCCUCUGCUGUUGUGGUCUCCUGGCCUUGGCCUUCCAAGGGGACACAAGGGGCCACCCAGCUAUGGGCUGGGCACUGCACACUGGUUCUGAGAACUCCCGGCCUGUCCUUUUGUCUGGGUCCAAAUCCUACCUCUACCACUCAUCUGAUGAGUGAUCUCUGACAAGUUCUUCACCUUUAUAAGCCUCAGUUUCUGCCUCUCUCAAAUGGGAAUAAUAACUAUAUGUACCAUGCCUAGCACAUUGAAAAGCUC